UUCUGACGGUGACCGGCCAGAUGGCAUCGGCGUCGGUGAGCGUCGCGUCGCCGAAGAAAUCACCGUCGCCCAGUAGACCGAGCCGGGUCUGCUCACCGUAUUCACCGGUACCGAGCUUGGCGAGCUUGCCGUGCACGAUCAGCAUGACCUGAUCCAUCGGGUUGCCGAACUCGGCCACCACCACACCCGGAUCGAGAUCGCGUUGUUCGAACCGGUGCGCCAGCGCGGCCAGCACCUCCUCGUCGUCGAAGUCCCGCAACUGCGGAAGCUCGGUCAACUCCAGGGGAAUUACCCUGGCCUGCGAGCCGUCGACGACGAAUUCCACCUCUCCGUUGCCCACCGUAUGGGUCAGACGCCGGUUGACCCGGUACACACCACCGCCGACCUGCGUCCACGGCAGCAUGCGGGUCAACCAUCGCGAGGUGAUGCCCUGCAUCUGCGGUUCGGACUUGGUGGUGUGCGCCAACUGAUGCGCCGCACCGGUACUCAAACUCUUACG
rnacentral:antisense_RNA from 1 species